CCGUCAUGCGCGCAGCCUGAUGCAGCCAUGCCGCGUGUAGUGAUGAAGGCCUUCGGGUUGUAAAGCACUUUUGUCGAGGAAGAGGCGUUGUGGUUAAUAACCGCAGCGAUUGACGUUACUCGCAGAAUAAGCACCGGCUUACUCCGUGCCAGCAGCCGCGGUAAU
rnacentral:rRNA from 1 species